UACGGGGGGGGGCAAGCGUUGUUCGGAAUUACUGGGCGUAAAGGGCUCGUAGGCGGCCAACUAAGUCAGACGUGAAAUCCCUCGGCUUAACCGGGGAACUGCAUCUGAUACUGGAUGGCUUGAGAUUGGGAGAGGGAUGCGGAAUUCCAGGUGUAGCGGUGAAAUGCGUAGAUAUCUGGAGGAACACCGGUGGCGAAGGCGGCAUCCUGGACCAACACUGACGCUGAGGAGCGAAAGCCAGGGGAGCAAACGGG
rnacentral:rRNA from 1 species